GGAGUAAUACUCAAGUGGCUCAAGAGGCGCCUCUGCUAAGGGCGUAGGCUGGGAAACCGGUGCUAGGGUUCAAAUCCCUAUUACUCCGCCA
rnacentral:tRNA from 2 species